rnacentral:misc_RNA from 1 species
GAUGAAGAACGUAGCUAAAUGCGAUAAGUAAUGUGAAUUGCAGAAUUCAGUGAAUCAUCGAAUCUUUGAACGCACCUUGCGCCCUUUGGCUAUUCCGAAGGGCAUGCCUGUUUGAGUAUCAUGAACACCUCAACUCUUUAUGGUUUUCCAUGAAGGGCUUGGACUUUGGGGGUCUUGCUGGCCUUUAGUCAGCUCCUCUCAAACGAAUCAGCUUUCCAGUGUUUGGCAGCGUCACAGGUGUGAUAACUAUCUACGCUUGUGGUUUUCUGCCAGGUAAUCCUCAGUGAUGGGGAUUCGCUGGGGCUUAUAAAUGUCUCUCCUCAGCGAAGACAGCUUUGUGAACGUUUGAUCUCAAAUCAGGUAGGACUACCCGCUGAACUUAAGCAUAUCAAUAAGCGGAGGA